rnacentral:lncRNA from 1 species
CCUCAAUGGCGCCGUCCAAAUGCCGCCUCGCGUUGAAAAGGGGGCAAAAAGAAGGUAGGUGGCCUGGGGCAAACCGCCGCAUAGACGCCUCGCACGACGCGUGCCUGUGCACAGACCCGCAGAAUAACCGAAAGAAAAGCUAGGGUGGAGCGCUCGGCGUGCAGCGCGCACACUGGCACAGUGUGCCGCACCUACCAAGGUCGCCAUAAGACGUCGCCCAUUGGGCGGCGAGGGGGUGCGCCACACAGAGGCCAGGCACACGAUCGCGCAACCACGUCCAUGCGUUGGCGUGAUCGUACGAUGUCAUGCUGUCGAUGGCAAUUUGCGCGUCGGCAGUGCCAUAGCGAUCACACAGGCAGGCCACCACGCGCUGAUGGCCUUUUUCAAGCGCCGUCACGAGGGCCGACAACUUGUAAAUGCCGCCGUGCUCGAUGAUCGCGCGCACGGCGUCGGCGUUCCCAGAGCGCGCCGCAACUUCGACUGCGUCCCACCGGUCGAGCGGGAGCAUGCCAGAGGCGUGGGCCGCCAGGGCGACAUCGGCGUACCCUUUGGUGAGCGCGCAGGCGAUCAUUUUGGGCGUGACGGCUGAUGCCAUGUCGGGCCUCGACAGCAUCCAUGCGACCACGUCGGCGUUGCCACGCAUGGCGGCGGCCCAUGCGAUUGUGGGACUGUGCCAAGCCUCGACCGGACUACGCCUGGGCGGUAAAUUGUCGACGGCUUCGCCGGCGGCCCAUUUUAGCACGUUGAGCCGUCCGUGUCUGGCGGCCGUGUGCAAAACGCUGACGUCGCAGGGGGCCAAACCGUGGUCGUGCAUGAACCGCACGCAGGCUAGCGACCCAUUGGUGGCCGCACUGCGCAUCCAAUCCGGCGCGACGUUGAUGGAUCGCCGGUCCAACGCCGCCGUGACAAACAUCCACUCCAAUGGCGGGUCGGUGCGGAACGACAGGGCGAUUCCGGCCAUCUUUUCGUCAUGGGCGUGCGGCGCCGCGUCGCACCCAUUCUCCCGGAGCCAAUCAAGCAACGGCACGUGACCGCCCAAAACUGCCUCGCAGGCCACCUCCCGGCAGCACCCGCACGUCGCCAGAGUCGAUCGGCCGCUGGCGGUAAAGCGGCCUGUCCGCGCGAGUCCGUGGAGCAUCGCGACAAUGCGCACGUCCCCAACUUUGGCAGCGCGCGUCAUGCACAUGAUCUGCGUUCUCUUGGAUCUGUCGAGAGACGGGACCUCUGUGCGCAGGAGCGCGCCCAAGAGGUCGGCACGGCGCGCGUCGAUGGCCACCAUGGCGGCUUUGAUACCUUGGCCAGUCCCUGGUUCAAAGUGACGAUGCCAUCGGUGGUGGCUGUACAUGCAAGUGUUUGGACAGCCGCACCAUACAUCCGCGUGUGUCUCUUGGGCGACCGCGCUGGGGUGUUCCUCGUCCUCUAGACGGCAACACAGCCAGUCGACAAUGUCCUGGUCGCCCCGGCGUACGGCCGGCACAAGCAGGGACUCUAUGGGAACGUCAACGGACAGCACGGCCGCGACAACGGCGAGGGGCGCGCCGGCAUCAAUCGCGCCCUUGGGGUCGUCGUGGAAGUGGCGUACGGCCAAGUCGCGGACGAGGCACGGCGAGAAAAUGGGCGAGGCCAGGAUGCAGGCGACGGCGUCGCGUGGGCGCUCCAAAAAGUGGCCGAUGCCGAGGAUCACCUCGCUGGGCAUCGCCGCCAGGCCCGUGGUCAUGCCUUGGCCCUCUCGACCCGCGAGCGUUGUACCUUGCAUUGGAUAUUGUCAAAAAUGCCGUUAAAAAAAGGGUAUGAACUUUGGUGCGUUCUUCUUGC